rnacentral:rRNA from 1 species
CAAUAGCGUAUACUAAAGUUGUUGCAGUUAAAAAGCUCGUAGUUGGAUUUCUGUGCGCCGGUUGUUGGGCCUGCUCUAUGAGGAGGCUCCUUCACCGUCGUACAUCCUGUUGGCAGACCCGCGCAGGGCAUUUAGUUGUCGGCGUGGGGAGACCACUCGUUUACUUUGAGAAAAUUAAAGUGUUCAAAGCAGGCAAUCGCUUGAAUACAUUAGCAUGAAAUAAUAGAAUAUGACCUUUGUUCAUUUAUUGGUCCAAUGAGUGGAGGUAAUGAUUAACAGGGACAGUUGGGGGCAUUAGUAUUGCUUUGUCAGAGGUGAAAUUCAUUGAUUAUCGCAAGACUAACUUAUGCGAAAGCAUUUGCCAAGGAUGUUUUCAUUAAUCAAGAACGAAAGUUAGGGGAUCAAAGAUGAUUAGAUACCAU